GCUGGUGGUCUUAGCGCAGAGGAUACACCCGUUCCCAUCCCGAACACGGUCGUUAAGCUCUGCCGCGCGGAUGGUACUGCCGAGGNGACUUGGUGGGAGAGUACGUCGCUGCCAGCA
rnacentral:rRNA from 1 species